rnacentral:lncRNA from 1 species
AACAGAGAGAAUCAACAUUAAGCCCCAUUGGACUGGAUUCUGAAGAUGCUUGAGGACUUCCUGCCUUAGUCAGAUUUGGUUUGGAACUGGGGCAGGGCCAGGCCUGCAGGUGGAAGCAACAUCAGCCCCAGCUGUGGGUCCUUCUGACCUCUUUUUCUCUCUACCAGAGAACUGGCUAUUUUUACCUGUCAACUGAGAAGGAUGGAUAGAGAAAAGCAUCAUUACAAAAGUGAAAUGUGUGAAUUUUAUUCUGGCUUUGAACAUUGAGUAGACGAAGAAGACAAUUCCAGACGGAGGAAACUCCACAAGAAAUAUCAUGGAAAUUUGAAAGAACACAGUGGGCUUGGGAAGAGAGAUCUCAGUGGUGGAAGCACCAUCAUCCCAAGGAGACUUAGGAAAAAGACAAGGCCCUGCUCUGAGGAGUGAAGACACAAUCCAGCAGGCAGGAGGGAUGGCUAAGUUCAAAGUCUUGAGAAGUGCCCCUCAUGGACACCCCAGGGUGCCCAUCUCCAGGUUACCACCAGGUGCUUCCAAGACCAAGAUAACCAGGCAAUCAUAGUAGAUGCAUCAAUGCACCCUUGCCCAAGGGCCUAGACAAGAGGUAUUGUUUAGCUUCGCAUGAAUUUUAUCACCUUGCCUAGAACCAGCCACCAUCUGCCAGGGCUCCUGACUUUUUCUGAAAUGAAUAGACACUAAAGCCUGCUGGGGAAUUUCAUGGAAAUCAAGAUGACUCAACCCAGAGUCCAUUUCAAGGCUAGGAUGCUAGAGGACGCCAACAAAGGAGUAGGGAAGUGAAACGGAUCAGCUCACAUCCAAGCCCUUGCAUGAUCAAUCCUGCAGUAGGAGUGCUGCUCAGUUGGGACUCAUGAGAGCCCGGAAGAGGAAAAAGCAGCUCUAAGCAUAGCAAAGAAGCUGUUAUGGAAAAGACCCAAAUGUUAAAAUGGUGGACAUAGUAAAGUGAUUGGUUCUGCUUAGGGGAAUCUAGAUCCCCACAUUUUGACCUCCACUGGAGUCUCAGAAGAACAAGUGCCAGGGGGGCUUGCCACAGAGGCCAAGGCAGUGAAUGUCAGGCACAUCACAGUCCCCAAGAUGGGGAGAAGACUGAGAUGCAGGGUAACAACUGCAAUCCAUUCAUGGGAGCCAUGUUUAUCUUAAAUCAUUGACAGUGAGAUAAGGAUCAUGUCAGCCUUCAUACCUUUGAUGAUGAUCCCAGGCUGCAACAGUGACACAUAGAACUGGAUUCAGUAACUAACUACAGAUUCCAUCAACCAGGACUAGUAAAGUGAAAGGCAGAAAUUGGGAGGAGGGGUUUCUUUCUUGCUUAUAAAACUUUAUUUGGUUGUGUUGAGUAUGUGCAUGUAUGUAUGAAAUCCCAUAAAGCAGUCUUCUUAGGAACAAGCCAACAUGCCACAAUGUAGGAGAUCUUUGGAGCACUGGCCUAAAUGGCAGAGAGCUCAAGGGACUCUGCUUUGUACAAGGCAUGAUUUGUACCACCACCACUAUCCCUGUUUCAGAGCACUGUUGAAUUGUUCCAAACCUGGAUUUCUAUGUCAGCUCCCUGUCUAUAGUACUUGACUGAUAAAUGCUAGUUUCUGAAAUCUGCUUUGGUUCUAUAAUUUAUUAGACAGCUUUUUCUUCCCAUUUUAUUACUUGUUUUUACUGUCAUUGGUAUAUUAUCUCUUACAGUGAAAACAUUCAUAGGCUGAUUGAAGAGAAGAUCUGAAAUUAUUAGGCAGCAAGCAUACAAAACCCUUGCUUUAUAAAGAUAAUAUCUUAAAGGCCUAAUGUCUAUGGUUCAAAGCAGCCUGGAGAUGUUGGCUAAAUCUUCCAUCAUAGAGUCCUCAUGGGAUCUGGAAGCUCUGAUUUAUCUUCCUUCAGGCCCUAUAAGUUAGCUUUCCACAUCUGUAGGUUCCACAAUCAACCUUGGAUCAAAAACAUUUGAAA